GCGUAGGUAUCUAUCCUUGUGUGGGGGACGAACCGUGGGAAACGCUACGGCUAAUACCGCAUGAUGACUGAGGUCUAAAGGCGCUGGGGCGAACUUGGUGUCGCCUGAGGAGGAGCCUGCGUACGAUUAGCUAGUUGGUGGGGUAAGGGCCUACCAAGGCUUCGAUCGUUAGCUGGUCUGAGAGGAUGAUCAGCCACACUGGGACUGAGACACGGCCCAGACUCCUACGGGAGGCAGCAGUGGGGAAUAUUGGACAAUGGGCGAAAGCCUGAUGCAGCAACGCCGCGUGAGGGACGACGG
rnacentral:rRNA from 1 species